UCUUUCUCGUUGAUCUUGUGAUAUUUUAUUCGUACAUAUCGUCGCUGUUAUUUGGAUCGUAGCCAAAUAAACGCGUCAUCAAAGGGCGACUAUGUUCAGCCGUAAACAUCAGGCAGGGGAGUCGGAAAGGCUUGGAAAAACACUCCAGAAAUGUAAAAUUUUUUUUUACGAUUUAUCUAGAUCACACAGAGUUAUAUUUUACAUGUCCGUUGCUCAUGUUCAGCGUAUUGUUCUCACGCCAUAAAGCAGGCAUUAAUUAUCUACAACCCGCUAAAGGUUGAUCAUAUUAAAUCCUAUAUUUAGAGUUGUAGACAUUUAAGACGCUUGCGACAUUCAGAUGGCUUUUAAACAAGUCUGAUUGAAUGCAACAUGUAGUUAGUAUGCAGGAUUACAGUGUGAUGAGGGAGAUCAUUUUGUAGCUGCUUUCGGGGCAUUCUGGGGAAAGAAAGAUGGUGCUGUCUUUGGUGAAGAUGUGCGCUCGGGAGGUGGUGAGCGACCACAGCUCUUCGCAGUAUUGGUUGAGUUGUGUGCCGCGGGAGCUCUACCGAGCGUUGCUGGACGCCGCCUUCACCCACAGCCGUCCUCUGGCCGUCGGUGUGCUCGUCCAGCGGUGGCCCGAGCGAAAACUGACCGUUGGAGGCAGCAGAAAAGCGGGCGAGUGCCCUCCGAACCGCCUCUGCGUUCAGGCUCUGCUGCUGGCUGUUGUCAGGGGACUGACGGACAAGAGGUGUUGCCUGCAGAUGCUGGAUCUCAGUGGACUUCAGUGUGAGGAUGGGAGAGUUGAGGACUCGAUGGGUGGAUGGUCCCUCAGCGUUGCCCUUUGCUCAAUGGUGCUACAAGCUCGAUCUGCUGCCUCCAGGGCUCACAGGAGAGAUGGAGAAAGAGAGAGAAAAAGAGGACUGAAAGCAGAACGUGACCGGUGCACCAUCAAGCGAGACCGGGGCAAGGUAGGGUGCGGGAAUAGUGGUGAAGGGAGUCAGGGAGGACACAGAGUGGAAGAAGUAGAGAAGAUGGAGUGCAGAACUAAUGAACGGAUGUUUCCAGGAGAUGAGUCAGUAAAGGGUGUCAGGAGGAGGAUGGAGAUCCAGAGAAGAAAGACUUUAUCUGAGGGGAAAUCAAACACCAGCAGUAAUAACAGUCGUUUAUGCGACCAAGACUGGGAUGAGGUAGUUAUGGUCCAUGUCAGGGCUGACCUUUUUGUCAAUUCCCGUUCCUGGGAGCGUGUCCGUGAUGCCCUUAGUCAACCGGGCCCACUGCGGCUCCACUGCCGCUACCUCCGCGUGGAGGAACUCUCAGCGCCCUCCAUAGCUUCCUUGUUGGGUCUCUUGCCUCCGCAGGAUCUCCUCUGUGUGGACAUCCGCUACUCCAGCCUUGGGGUGUCAGGCCUGGCUAUGCUGCUUCCACUUUUAGCUCCCUUUCCUCAGCUGCACUCUCUGAGACUGCAUUACUGUAACUUGGAUUUACAGCGCACACAGCCUGGCCAGCAGGGGGCACUUCAGGACAUGUCUAAAGGACUGGGUUCACUGAAGAGACUAAAGAGAUUAUGCCUGACUGCACUCCGACUGCCAGGACACCUGCGCUUGCUGCUCAGCUCUCUUUCCCAGCCUCUGGAGGUGCUAGAGCUGCCAUACCUGUGCCUGACCUCCACUGACCUGGCCUACCUCUCCUGCAGCCAGCAUGCUCCAUUCCUGAGAGAACUUGACCUGAGUGAGAACUGGCUUGAUGAAUCGUCCCUGCCCUCUCUGCGCCGUCUCUUAGCUCAAGCCGAAAGCUCUCUGCGCCAGCUUUCACUUUGUGGUUGUGGCCUCUCAGACACUCUCCUGGGUGCUCUUCUUCCCUCCCUGUCUUGCUGUCGGGCUUUACGUAGCUUAAGAUUGGCCUUAAACCCGCUCUCUAGAACGGGAAUGCUUUCCCUGGCCCGUACAGCGGCAGGAAUCCCUUCUCUUCGUCUGCUGCUCUAUCCCAACCCACUGGAAGAAUAUGAGCCUGGGCUGCCGGCUCUCCCCUCCAGUGCGCAGCUGCUGGAUUGGCCUCUGCUAGAGGAGUCUGAGGGCAGGGACAUGACGCUGAGGUUGCUAGAUGAGGUUCUGAAAUUGAGAGGACGAUCCCGGGACCUUCUUGUGACCUCCGACCUUCUAAACUAUAGCCCAGACUUGACUGUGGAUGAUUAGGGGGUGAAUGUCCCAAAGCUCACUCUCUUAUAAUGUGUGACAAUCAAAACUAUGCUUAAACUAGUAUUUUCAGAUUAUGUUUUAACCACUCAUGGGGAAUUACUUGUGGUUGCCAAGCUUUUUCAGUAAUAGCAAACCUUAUACUGCUUAUACACAGUCAUAUAAAAAGUCUUGCUAGUGGAAACCUUAGCAUUAUAUUGUAUGCAGCUUCUCACAUGAAAUGAUUUUGAAUUUGUAUUUGUUUGCUGUGUUAUGCGUAAUGUAUGGGUUUUAUUGCCUUAAAUCUUAAAAUGUUCAGGUUCUAUGGUGUAAAACGCUUUUCAAUCUUAUCUGCUUUCUCACAAGUCUAAUUUAAUCUGACAGUGUUCAAUGUCUCAUGAAGGAAAUCAAGACCUAAAGGGAAAAUUUACUGGAAAAGGAAAAACUCGCCCUCAAGUCAUUCCAUAUAAUCUAUAUGAUUUUAUGACUUCAUAAAAAACAUUUAGACAGAAUUUCCAUUUCUAGUUGAACUAUCCUUUGAUGACUAUGGUGUUUAAUUAAUGUUCACAGACACAGAAUUUAACAGGGUUCCCAUGCAACCCAAAAAAAAAAAAAAAGUAAUUUUGCAUUGCAGUUUUUCGACAUAAUUAUUUGUCCUGGAAAAUAUUUU